GAGGGUGGAGCUCAGUGGUAAAGUGCGUGCUUAGCAUGCGCGAGGUACCGGGUUCGAUCCCCAGCACCUCCA
rnacentral:tRNA from 1 species